GGGAUACCAUGGAAUAAAAAGGUAGGAGAGAUGUAAAGCAUGAGACAGACUUCCACCCACAGUUGCUGACUUUCAAGAUGAAGAGGCCAUGAGCUAAAAAAUGCUGAAAGUCUCUAGAGGCUGAGAGCAACCACUGGCAACAGCCAGCAAGGAAGUGGCAGCUUCAGUCCUCUAACCAACCACAUGGAGCUGAAUUCUUUCAACAGCCUGAAAGAGCCUAGCAGUACGGUUUCCUCCAGAGCCUUCAGCUGAAGCUCCUACUAAAAUGCAGAUUCUGAUUCAGUGGAACUGGAGUAGGCUGUAAGAAUCCGUACCUCCAUCAAGUACCCAAGGAAUGCCCACGCUCUGGUGGACAGACUCCAUUCUGAGCUGUAAGGCAGAGCCCAGGGGGAUGGUUUACACCCCUUUAUGUGGAAUAUCUGUCUCAAGUCAAUGUGAAUAAAAAUUUUCCACUUCCAGCAGCGCUCACCCAGGAGAUAUCAGAACUAACUGUUGUGUUUUAUCACAGCUGACUCUAAACAGCUGAAGUUGCCCUGAACUUUGAGUGACCUGGACGCCAGAUCUUUACUGAACCUAAUUGAAGAUACUUUGCUGAGAAAUGAAAAAUGGGACAAUUUUAACCAAAUGCGCACAGACCUAUGGACUCAUGUUGCCCUCUCAGAACGCGGUUUUCUAUGCUUAGUCUCAUUACAAACUCCUCCUCUCUAGCAUAUAAACACCCCAAUUUUCUCCCACACAAAUGACUCAGUGAAUUGCAUUUCUUCACUGUCACGUGUUCUCUUUCCUGGCAAGUUAGUGGUUUCGACUUGGUUUGUUAUUGGUUUUCCUCUGGAGGUCUUUGUAUUAUUCUUUGACACUAGUUUUAAGACAUUGUUUUUCCAUAAAAUCUUUGUUAAAUCUAUUAUGCCUUUCUCAGAUCAUGUCUGCUUAGGAAAUCCCUCCUUCCCUGAAAGGGCUUUGCUCUUGUGUUACUACAUAGUGAAAGCUUCCCUCACCUCCCACCUGGGGCAACGUGACUAUUCCCCACUCUGUGCCAGCACCAGACAUCCUUCUCUACCUCUAGUAUACAUCUACCCCAUUACUGACCAUCUGUGGGUUUAAAUUUUAUCUUCUCCACUGCAAAAUGAAUAUCUUGAAAGUAAGUCCUGUUAGCUUGUGUUGUUUUUGUCAUUGUUUUUAUAUCUUUAUCUCUAUUGAAUUGAAACGGGUGGUAGUAAAUAGUAAUAUUAUCUUCUUUUUACUUGGCACAUCAGAAUUCACAAAGUACUUUUAUAUACAUUAUUUAACAUGACCUUUGUAACAGAUGGGAAAGAUUUUACAGUGUAAAUAGGAAAACUAAAACUUAGAGAAUACAAAUGAUAACCUUGGAGUCACACAUAAUUAAACGUCAGAAAAAGGACCGAAACCCACAUCUUUUUUCUCUAGGUACACAUUAAUCCAUCUUCAACCACAAGUGAUAAACAGAAAUUUUCUUAUCAAUUUUUAUUUUUAAUUUCUUAUCUAGAUGGGUAAAAGAAAAUCCUGGAAGAAUAAGAUGGUCAAAUAAGAUUUGAGGGGCAUAAUGUUUCCACAAAUACCAUGCACAGGGGAAGCAGACCUAGCUUGAACAGAGGCAGGUAUAGGGAAGAAAUGGGGAUGCUGACUAUCCCAAUAUGUGUGGACAAAUUAAAACAGAGCAGGAGAAGAGAGAUAUCAAAGUGUGCAAAGGAGUCAAGGAGAGUUUUUUUUUUAUAACUUUGUUUUUUUUCUGCUUUAUUUCCCAAACCCUGCCGGUGCAUAAUUGUACAUCUUAGUUGCAGGUCCUUCUAGUUGUGGGAUGUGGGACGCCAUCUCAACGUGGCCUGACGAGCGGUGCCAUGUCCGCGCCCAGGAUCCUAACCCUGGGCCCCCGCAGCAGAGCACGUGAACUUAACCACUUGGCUACGGAGCUGGCCCCAAGGAGAGUUUUAACUUGAGUUCCUGGCAAGGGCUAGUUCGGGUCUCCAGCACAUUUCCUAUUCUUCAAGUCCAUCUUGCAGCUGUGGAAUUUAUUUGCUCACUGAUUUUUAUUUGUUUGUGUGUUUCAAAGUAGGUAAAGCUGAAUUUCAUUUGUAGCAUUGUGGUAGACUAUAUAUUUUCAAGCCAUCCAACUAUAGAAUACCCAAAAAUGAUACAUACAACCUAAUAAACUUGUUUUUUAAUGAAAAGCCAAG
rnacentral:lncRNA from 1 species